rnacentral:rRNA from 1 species
AUUGAACGCUGGCGGCAUGCUUUACACAUGCAAGUCGAACGGCAGCGCGGGCUUCGGCCUGGCGGCGAGUGGCGAACGGGUGAGUAAUGCAUCGGAACGUGCCCAGUAGUGGGGGAUAGCCCGGCGAAAGCCGGAUUAAUACCGCAUACGACCUGAGGGUGAAAGCGGGGGACCGAAAGGCCUCGCGCCAUUGGAGCGGCCGAUGUCGGAUUAGCUAGUUGGUGGGGUAAAGGCUUACCAAGGCGACGAUCCGUAGCUGGUCUGAGAGGACGACCAGCCACACUGGGACUGAGACACGGCCCAGACUCCUACGGGAGGCAGCAGUGGGGAAUGUUGGACAAUGGGGGCAACCCUGAUCCAGCCAUGCCGCGUGCGGGAAGAAGGCCUUCGGGUUGUAAACCGCUUUUGUUCGGGAAGAAAUCCUCUGGGCUAAUACCCCGGGGGGAUGACGGUACCGGAAGAAUAAGCACCGGCUAACUACGUG